rnacentral:rRNA from 1 species
CGUCUUAAAAGUCUAAACGACUCUCGGCAACGGAUAUCUCGGCUCUCGGAUCGAUGAAGAACGUAGCGAAAUGCGAUACUUGGUGUGAAUUGCAGAAUCCCGUGAACCAUCGAGUCUUUGAACGCAAGUUGCGCCCGAGGCCUCGGCCGAGGGCACGUGU